rnacentral:tRNA from 1 species
GUAGAGAUGGCUUAGUGGUUAAGAGCACUGGCUGCUCUUCCAGAGGACUCGGGUUCAAUUCCCAGUACCCACA